AUUGAACGCUGGCGGCAUGCCUUACACAUGCAAGUCGAACGGUAACAGGUUAAGCUGACGAGUGGCGAACGGGUGAGUAAUGUAUCGGAACGUGCCCAGUUGUGGGGGAUAACUACUCGAAAGAGAGGCUAAUACCGCAUACGACCUGAGGGUGAAAGCGGGGGAUCGCAAGACCUCGCGCAAUUGGAGCGGCCGAGAUCAGAUUAGGUAGUUGGUGGGGUAAAGGCUCACCAAGCGGAGGAUCUGUAGCUGGUCGGAGAGGACGACCAGCCAGACUGGGAGUGAGACACGGCCCAGACUCCCACGGGAGGCAGCAGUGGGGAAUUUUGGACAAUGGACGCAAGUCUGAUCCAGCCAUGCGGCGUGCGGGAAGAAGGCCUUCGGGUUGUAAACCGCUUUUGUCAGGGAAGAAACGCUCUGGGCUAAUACCCCGGGGUAAUGACGGUACCUGAAGAAUAAGCACCGGCUAACUACGUGCCAGCCGCCGCCGUAAUAC
rnacentral:rRNA from 1 species